GGAACUCGUAGGUGAGUAUGACUAUGAACGCGUAAGUAUGGAGAUUUAUGUGUAUGUAAUUUACAUGUAUAGACGUGUGUGUUUAGGACUUGCAUGUAAUAUUGUGUAAGAUGUAAAUUGUAAGUAUUUGUACGAAUAGAAAGGUAUGUAUGCAUGGAUUGGAAUUUAAAUAUAUGCACGAAUGAAUGAGACUUGUUUAUGCGUAUAUGUGGACUUAUUCAUAUGAAUGAAAUCUAACGAUGCUAACCGUUUUUCUAUUGAGAAUCAAAUGGAAGUGCAGGUAUACAAAUAAUGGAAGUUGUAGGUUUGACACUAAAAUCCAAUGAUGGUGUUCGAAUGGAUGGAUGAAUGGAUUAACAUAAGCGAAAGCAUGAGAUGUUGCGUGGAUUUAGCAUCAUUAUGAAGGAUAGAAAGAUUGAAGAUCGAGUCAAGAGCAAAGGAUUGUACGGGAAAGAUCGGUCACAUAGUUUAGCAAAUGUAGGUCCGAAGUAUUAAUAUAAUGGAACGUGGUAAAUCCUUUUUAAUGAAUGUAUGACAUUUGAUAUUCGAACUUUCCUGUAAGUACUAUGUCUAUUAAAGAACGAAAUUUUGGGUUCA